GGGUACACCCGUCGGUAGAGCGCUGGCCUUUUAAGCCAGUGGUCGUGGGUUCGAUCCCCACGGGGGGUG
rnacentral:tRNA from 1 species